rnacentral:lncRNA from 1 species
AAAGCAACCCGAUGAGGCAUGGGACUAUUUAGACUCUCUCGCAGAGACUGCACAAUUAUGGGAUACAGGGGAUAGAGUGAAUAAACCUUUGCCUAAGCCUACUAAUAUUGGACAUGGGGGCCUUUAUAACCUUAGUACUCAAGAUGAUAUUCAAGCUAAAAUGGCAGCCCUUACUAGGAAGGUAGAGGAAAUUGAACUUAGAAGGAUUGAACCCGUCAAGACCGUAGAACAUAACAACGAGUGUUGUAGGAUUUGCGAGAUGCCUGGCCAUCUCACCACU